rnacentral:rRNA from 1 species
GACGAACGCUGGCGGCGUGCCUAAUACAUGCAAGUCUAGCGAAGUUUUUCUGGUGCUUGCACCGGAAAAACUUAGCGGCGAACGGGUGAGUAACACGUAAAGAACCUGCCUCAUAGACUGGGACAACUAUUGGAAACGAUAGCUAAUACCGGAUAACAGCAUUAACUGCAUGGUUGAUGUUUAAAAGUUGGUUUUGCUAACACUAUGAGAUGGCUUUGCGGUGCAUUAGCUAGUUGGUGGGGUAAAGGCCUACCAAGGCGACGAUGCAUAGCCGACCUGAGAGGGUGAUCGGCCACACUGGGACUGAGACACGGCCCAGACUCCUACGGGAGGCAGCAGUAGGGAAUCUUCCGCAAUGGGCGAAAGCCUGACGGAGCAACGCCGCGUGAGUGAAGAAGGAUUUCGGUUCGUAAAGCUCUGUUGUUAGGGAAGAAUGAUUGUGUAGUAACUAUACACAGUAGAGACGGUACCUAACCAGAAAGCCACGGCUAACUACGUG